UACGUAGGGUGCAAGCGUUGUCCGGAAUUAUUGGGCGUAAAGAGCUCGUAGGCGGUCCGUUGCGUCGGCUGUGAAAACCCGGGGCUCAACUCCGGGCCUGCAGCCGAUACGGGCAGACUAGAGUUCGGCAGGGGAGACUGGAAUUCCUGGUGUAGCGGUGAAAUGCGCAGAUAUCAGGAGGAACACCGGUGGCGAAGGCGGGUCUCUGGGCCGAUACUGACGCUGAGGAGCGAAAGCGUGGGGAGCGAACAGG
rnacentral:rRNA from 1 species